GCCAGUUUAGCUCAGUGGUAGAGCAACGGUUUUGUAAACCGUGGGUCGGGGGUUCGAAUCCCUCAACUGGCUCCA
rnacentral:tRNA from 1 species